rnacentral:rRNA from 1 species
UACGUAGGGCGCAAGCGUUGUCCGGAAUUAUUGGGCGUAAAGAGCUCGUAGGCGGCUUGUCACGUCGAUUGUGAAAGCCCGAGGCUUAACCUCGGGUCUGCAGUCGAUACGGGCUAGCUAGAGUGUGGUAGGGGAGAUCGGAAUUCCUGGUGUAGCGGUGAAAUGCGCAGAUAUCAGGAGGAACACCGGUGGCGAAGGCGGCUCUCUGGACGGAUACUGACGCUGAGGCGCGAAAGCGUGGGGAUCAAACAGG